UCCUCCUAUUUAUGUUCUCCUUCAAGUUUCAACAAUCUGAAGAACAAUAUGGGAAAUUUUACUCCACAUGAAUCACAGGCAAGAUCAAAACAUUUCUCACAGAUAAUCCAUCGACUUAAUACCACCAUCGCCUACCUUUUAAGUUUAAGCUACCUAAUAUUUGGGCUCGGCCCAAGCCACACCCACAAGACACAAACAAGGUACUCCACAAAACAGUAAAGCCCUGACAUCCACAUCUGAGAUCGCCGCAAACUUAACAUCCAGCAUAAGCGCAAACAUGGCAAAUUCUAUACGCCUAGAAAAGCAUUCUCAUCUGGGAGGGUGUUAUACCCCUCGCUAUCUGGUUACUCUUUCAGGCUUCCCAGCAACAGGUAAACACUAGAACACUACAAUGUCGAAUUACGAGAGCUUACAAUACUAACAGUGGAACAACCUACAGUCACGACUACGGGUAAACUAUAACCCGGAUCACAUCAGCGGCCAUAAACUUCAGCAAAGAGUCAGCUCUUGUAAUCUGCCUUGCCCAUCUUCUCACCUUCCACUCAGGGUUAGCCUGUAAUAAAGACCAGCGUUCAGAUUAGCAGCAGAAUCUACAACUAGAAUGGGGUUGUGUAGAUGUCUACAGAUAUUAAGCACCCUAGCUAAAUAUAAACUUGUAUGUAGUGAUCUAUGUACAGUAGUAGUAGUAGUAUACCGACAUGGCAAGGUUCACUACAAUGCCACUGCAACUAGACCAGGGAGAAGUAUUUUUUAGAUCAAAAGUGGGAACGGACAACAAUUGCAACUCAGCAAAUAAAACAUAAUACUUCUUGGUCCGCAUGACAGCCUAAUUUGGAAAGGGUGAGUGCUUCAAAGGUGCAAAUUCAAUGUAAAUGGUAGCUAGCUCAUAAGUAGCCACUGAAUUGUAGAACACCGAUGGUAAAAGAUGGCCUAAUCAGUAGUUAUUUCACAUAUGGAAACCAUAGUGAGCUCACAAGCCCUAUAUAUUCUCAUGAAUUACACUGUGAGGACCACUAGAUAGAACAAAGCAUGGCAAUCCACACUCCACGGGGCAUAAAAGAAUCGUACGCGAGCGAAACUAGUUACCAGUACUACUUUUCAGGGAUAAAUAGCAGAAUAAGAGAAUUUCAAUGAACUAAUGGCUGUUGGCUUUUGAACGUGCGUAUGCAGCCGUACAGGCGUGCCUACGCGAUUCUUGCUUCGGACGGCUAUAGCUUGUCUGAAUGAGAGAUAUUUGUCAUUAUGCAUUCAUCAACAGUAGUAUUGUUCAAAUUUUUUGCACAAGAAGCACCAAUAUAAUUAGAAUUAAAGAUAUGAAACUAUCGACAAUAUUUCUUGUUGAUUUUGCCAAAUGAAUCACUUUUUAUGAAGAAUAUCUAAAUGGGCACCCAAACCCCAUGAAAGGGAUUACAUCUCACUACAACAUCAACAUGUGUCCACCGAAGGCACUUCUACAUAAAUGACAUGGAGCAAUACCACAUGCAAGUAGAUAGUGGCUACAGGUUAAGGUGAGAGUCGACUACUCUACAUAUCACAAUCAUGCUACAGUCAUAGUUUUACUGACAUGAAUAAUUUAAUUAUGAUUCGGUUGGCUAUCUUUUCACUAAAACAAAGCACUAAGUUGAUCCAUAACAGAUAAAACAAGGCGGGUAAAUAACAAGAUGAUUCAAUUAAGUAGAAGAUGCCCGGCAACUCAUGUUGGAAUUAACCACGAUGUAAGUCCAUGUCCGGCUCGGACUGGAACNNNNNNNNNNUCAGCUUGCAGAUAUCCUGACCAAGUCUUUGGGACGACAGAAGUUUACAGAGAUGCGGAGAAGGAUCGGCGUCCAAGCUGUAAAAUGAGGACAUCGUGUUUAGGGGGUGAUUGUUGGAAUUAACCACGAUGUAAGUCCAUGUCCGGCUCGGACUGGAACAAUCGCAUCCGAGUCGUAUUAGGCUAGGUUAGCUUCAUAGGCUAGCUCCUUUAUAUACUCGUAUACCCCUGUAGUAUUUUGAACCACCAAGAUCAAAGCAAUACAAUCAAAGGCUCGAUACGAGCCUCUGGCAAUCAUCUCGGCGUCUUCAGUGUUUUCGUGUGCGUGUUCCGUUGCCAUAACCGGUGCUGGUUCGAUCAGCCUUGAGGUUGUGCAAGCUAGCUCACAUCUGCUACGUGAGAAUCCAUCCAGGUGCCUGCCUGCCUGCNNNNNNNNNNACGGUCGGAAAGCACUCGGCUGGCUCGACGACUGCUUGUGUGCUCUCGACGGAAAGUAAUCAUCUACGAGAGACGUACGUGUCGUACAGGGUCAGUGCCAUCAACUCAACCCUUUGAAAUCUGAGGCCUACCACUUACGGUGGAUUUUGAUGAAUUGGUUGCUUCCUGAUCACAAUAUAAAGGGAAUGAGUGAACAUGAACAACGCAUACUAGGUUUUCACUGGUGAUCUAUCAGUAGGCAUCUGAUUGGUCAACUGACGACUUGAACCAAGGAAGAUCAGUAGGCAUCUGAUCUAGUAUUGAAUGUAGAUAUCUAACAUCUAUCAACAACCGAGAAAGAAAACUCUCUUGUAGGACUAACUGGGAUCAAUGGCAUAAUGAUUUGAUAUAAAGUUAUAAACACCUUAAGAGUUUACUCAGUUACAUUUUAAAUGAUUGAAACACAUAAAUGAAUAGGCUUAUCAGGAUUCAUGAAACUGGAAACCUCGUGCUUAUAAGAAAGGUGUGUGCAAAUAGUUCAGAAGAAGCAAACGUCUUCUGCUUUAAUCUCACUAUCUGCACAGAUAGAAUCAUAGAAACAAUGCAACGUACAAUUAUUUUUGCCCCUCUCUAAUCAUUUUGAUGAUCAGUUUGCAAUAAAGGCAUACAGUAGAAUUGCGGCAGUUGGCCACUCAGGACAAAUGAAGAUUGCAAAUUGACN
rnacentral:lncRNA from 1 species